GGCAGUGUGGCAUAGUGGUAAUGAGUAGGGCUCCUAACCGAAUGGUUGCCAGUUCAAUUCCCCACUGCGG